GUAUGAGUGUGGCAAGUGCGGUAGACUUGGUCAUAAUUCACGCACUUGUCGUUGGCAGAUUAGCGAGGAUGGCACAGUUCCACCUCCUCGACCCGUUCUACGACGAGAGCCACCGGGGGCGCCUUCUGUCGGAAGGCCAGGACCUAGCAACGCUUCGUUCUAGGACACACAAUGGGUUCCUAGACAUGGUGUUCGACGACAGGUACACUAAUUACCUCAGACGAGCAGGUC